UAAAUACUCCUCUGUCCGGAAAUACUUGUCCGAGGAAUGGAUGUAUCUAGAUGUAUUUUAGUUCUAAAUAUAUCUAUUUCUAUCCAUUUCCAAGACAAGUAUUUCCGGACGGAGGAAUACAAG
rfam:Triticum aestivum genome assembly, contig: Triticum_aestivum_CS42_TGACv1_scaffold_030689_1BL